GCAUUAGUAGCUCAGCUCAAGAGCACCAGUCUUGUAAACUGGAGGCCGGAGGUUAAAAUCCCCCCUUCUGCU
rnacentral:tRNA from 1 species